rnacentral:piRNA from 1 species
UGCAACAUUGUAUUCAAUUUGUAGACGGGU